rnacentral:tRNA from 1 species
GCUUAAGUAGUUUAAUAUAAAACAUUAGAUUGUGGAGCUAAAAAUAUAUAUAUUUAUCUUAAGCU